CUGACUCUCUUGCUGAAUCUACCUCCAGCAUUCUUUCAGGCAGUCCAUUCCAGAUCAUAACAAUCUGGUGUCUAAACAAAUUUUCCUUGUCUUCCUCCUGGUCUUCUUGCCAUUUCCCAACCAGCACCAACAAACCUACGAGGCAAACAUCCAACAGCAGCUCACACCAUGAAUGAGAGACCAGUCCAUGACCAACAGUACUACUGUGCACAUCAUCACACAGUUAAAGCAUGUUAAUUCACUCAUCAGAUGGCAAAGCUGAGCAGCAUUAAGAAGAUGGGAAUAAUUUUAGAGAUAUCAGUUGGACAACAGAGGAACACCAUGGCAAAAUGUCUAAACAACAGAUAUAUUGGUGCUGUAGUAUUCAUAAUAAUUGCUUUGACUAUUAUUUAGAUGGUUUAACCAUUAUUUGACAACAACAGAAAAUGGCAAGCAGUAGAGUUGCACUUGCAGAUUAUUUUUCAAGUAAUCCACUAAUUCCACUAUUAGUUUCUCUUGGUGAGUUUGUGCUCUCACAUAAGGCACCAAAACAUAAUUUGAGAAUUAGCAGCGACACACAAAAAUCAAGGAGUCAUUGUAACAUUUUGCAAAAUUACUGUGUAUUGAUGUGGGUACAAGACUUUAUGCAUAUUGAAGCUGGUUUACUUGGCUUAAUUACUGAAUUACAUUAGUAUUUUCAAACUUUUUUGCAUUUGUGAUAGUGAUAAACAAUUGUAUUGAUUAAUAUCCAUUUUAAUCAACAAGUUAAAUCACUUGUAUUCAUAUUGGAGAAUGGA